rnacentral:lncRNA from 1 species
AUCAGCAGAGCUUUAGCAGCUUUAGAUGGAUAUCUAUGUAAUCUCUUCAUAGGCUGGUCAGCAGAAUCCCACUACUCACCAGUACAAUGAUCUUUCGUAUUCAUCAUGUCAUACAAGAGGGAAGAUCAUCUUGGGUCCCUUGAACCGAUCUCCAAGGGGAUCAGUCUCAGUUCUCUGACCAGAGAGAGAGAGAGAGAAUACAUUAACGGUGAUGAAUACUUCCCUUUAUCUCCUCUUAUCACCUCGUUGAACAAGUCAUGUGUCAAAGGAUAUUAAUUUCUGCGAUGACAUUAGGACAUGUCAAUGGACACAAGAGGAUGAAGGGAAACUCUCUUUAUCCGAGAGGAAGCUGUGGGCAUUGCUAUUUCCCUGGCUGGAAAGUGUGCAGUUAAUGACAGGUUGGGUCUAAGACAACAAAUGCAGUAAAAAAUGCCUUAUGUGCCCAAAGGAAAUUUAUAGGGAAAUGUGUUAAUGUACUAAUGAGAUUCAUCUGUAGUUGACAUAUCAAAGAUAAAUGUCAACUUAUCUAUUUGUUAAUGGAUCUAUUAAAAGCUAUGUUUGU